UCGGAUUGUAGUCUGCAACUCGACUACAUGAAGCUGGAAUCGCUAGUAAUCGCGAAUCAGCAUGUCGCGGUGAAUACGUUCCCGGGUCUUGUACACACCGCCCGUCACACCAUGAGAGUUGGAAAUACCCGAAGCCUGUGAGCUAACAGUAAUGAGGCAGCAGUCGAAGGUAGAGCCAAUGAUUGGGGUGAAGUCGUAACAAGGUAAC
rnacentral:rRNA from 1 species